CCUACGGGUGGCAGCAGUGGGGAAUAUUGCACAAUGGGGGGAACCCUGAUGCAGCGACGCCGCGUGAGUGAAGAAGUAUUUCGGUAUGUAAAGCUCUAUCAGCAGGGAAGAAGAUGACGGUACCUGACUCAGAAGCCUCGGCUAACUACGUGCCAGCAGCCGCGGUAAGACGUGGGGGGCAAGCGUUAGCCGGAUUUCCUGGGUGUAAAGGGAGCGUAGACGGCAGGGCAAGUCUGGAGUGAAAGCCGGGGGCCCAACCCCGCGACUGCUUUGGAAACUGCCAUGCUAGAGUGCUGGAGAGGUAAGCGGAAUUCCUAGUGUAGCGGUGAAAUGCGUAGAUAUUAGGAGGAACACCAGUGGCGAAGGCGGCUUACUGGACAGUAACUGACGUUGAGGCUCGAAAGCGUGGGGAGCAAACAGGAUUAGAUACCCCAGUAGUC
rnacentral:rRNA from 1 species